rnacentral:rRNA from 1 species
AUUGAACGCUGGCGGCAUGCUUUACACAUGCAAGUCGAACGGCAGCGCGGGCUUCGGCCUGGCGGCGAGUGGCGAACGGGUGAGUAAUACAUCGGAACGUGCCCAGUAGUGGGGGAUAGCUCGGCGAAAGCCGGAUUAAUACCGCAUACGACCUGAGGGUGAAAGCGGGGGGUCUUCGGACCUCGCGCUAUUGGAGCGGCCGAUGGCAGAUUAGCUAGUUGGUGGGGUAAAGGCCUACCAAGGCGACAAUCUGUAGCUGGUCUGAGAGGACGACCAGCCACACUGGGAGUGAGACACGGCCCAGACACCUAGGGGAGGCAGCAGUGGGGAAUUUUGGACAAUGGGCGAAAGCCUGAUCCAGCAAUGCCGCGUGUGUGAUGAAGGCCUUCGGGUUGUAAAGCAGUUUUGGCGGGAACGAAAAGGACUGUGCCAAUACCACGUUUGGAUGACGGUACCCGCAGAAUAAGCACCGGCUAACUACGUG